UGCAAUCGUUUCUGAAAAUUCAUCAGUGAAACUUUUAAGUUGAACAGAAAACAUAAUAAAAAACUUCAGAAUGAAAUUCGUUGCAUUUGGAUUCUUGCUUGCCAUGAUCUUGGCUCUCUUUGCCAAUACCCUGGCCAAUCCUAAAGUAGCUCUUACUCCAGAAGAUCCACGUCAUCAUCCUUCAUCAGUUGAAUUUAACCAAUUCGCUCCAGAUGCCAGCUCUCCUUUUUAGAUAAUUGUUUUCGAUAAAAUGUUGAAGAAGGCGAUUUCAAUUAUUUUAGGACACUAUUAGUUUAUAUAUUAAAAGUUGCUUUUAGUUGCUUAAAUGGGAUAUAACAAAUAAAUGAAAUUCACUUUUUUCAAAUGAAA